rnacentral:rRNA from 1 species
UACGUAGGGUGCAAGCGUUAAUCGGAAUUACUGGGCGUAAAGCGUGCGCAGGCGGUUCUAUAAGACAGAUGUGAAAUCCCCGGGCUCAACCGGGGAACUGCAUUUGUGACUGUAGAGCUGGAGUACGGCAGAGGGGGAUGGAAUUCCGCGUGUAGCAGUGAAAUGCGUAGAUAUGCGGAGGAACACCGAUGGCGAAGGCAAUCCCCUGGGCCUGUACUGACGCUCAUGCACGAAAGCGUGGGGAGCAAACAGG